rnacentral:lncRNA from 1 species
AGAGUGACUGCUUUGUGUUAAUAAUAAAGAUGAUUGAUGCUUAGAUUACACGUUUGCAGUGACGACUGAAGAAUUAAAAUCAAAUGAGAGUGGAGUGGGUGGGCGAAUUAAAUCAUCAUUUAUGGAUUAUGGAUUUGUCUUCACUCUUCGACGGCUGCGUUGAAAAUCUGUUCCCAACUUUGAACGUUAGUCUUCAUAUGAAAUGUAUGGUUCAACAUCACUGCAGGGUCAUAAAUUGAUAAUUAUCCAAAUAUAUUAUAUGGUCAGCUAAUAAUUCAAUUUCAUCCAAAAUAUAUUAAUUUUUUAGAAGUCUGUUUCAACUAGAUUUAAAAUCUAAAAUUAUGAGCAAGCAAGCAUUUGUUUGCUACCUAUUUAAUUUUUAAAUAUAACUACUCAAAUUUAUAUUUUGUCCACACAUUUCGUGAAAUUUAUAGGUAAUAUCGACCUAUUUACUAUUCAUUUUUUCUAUUUAUAAUUUGAAUUGAUUAUAAUGUGUUCCCCAAACAAUCACUAAGAGCGUGUUUGAUUGACAUAAAAAAUAUCACCUAAAAAAUAAAAUGUUUUCCAUCUUUUGUGGAAAAUAAAAACCACCUCUACCCAAGAAAAAUGAUUUCCUUAAAAAUAAGAAAAAUUAGGCAUAUUUUCAAAAAUUAGAAAAUGUUUUCCAUGGAAAAAAAAUAGCAAUCAAACACUCCAAGUAAGAAUUUGGGUGAAAAAUAUCAAUUUUCCAUGGAAAAUAAAUGUAAUCAAACGCACCCUAAAUAUACUUUUAAGCAACUAGAUUUAAAUGGUCUUUACUAAAAAAUAUACAUAUUUAC